rnacentral:rRNA from 1 species
GACGUAGGGGGCCAGCGUUGUCCGGAAUCACUGGGCGUAAAGGGUGCGUAGGCGGGUCUUUAAGUCAGGGGUGAAAUCCUGGAGCUCAACUCCAGAACUGCCUUUGAUACUGAAGAGCUUGAGUUCGGGAGAGGUGAGUGGAACUGCGAGUGUAGAGGUGAAAUUCGUAGAUAUUCGCAAGAACACCAGUGGCGAAGGCGGCUCACUGGCCCGAUACUGACGCUGAGGCACGAAAGCGUGGGGAGCAAACAGG